rnacentral:rRNA from 1 species
AACGAACGCUGGCGGCAUGCCUAACACAUGCAAGUCGAACGAGACCUCCGGGCUUAGUGGCGCACGGGUGGGUAACGCGUGGGAACUUGCCCGUAGGUUAGGAAUAACUGCCCGAAAGGGGUGCUAAUACCGGUUAAUGUCAUCGGACCAAAGAUUUAUUGCCGUUGGAUGGGCGCGGGUUGGAUUAGCCAGUUGGUAGGGUAAAAGCCUAUCAAGGCGACGAUCCUGAGCUGGUCUGAGAGGAUGAUCAGCCACGCUGGAACUAAGACACGGCCCAGACUCCUACGGAAGGCAGCAGUGGGGAAUAUUGGACGAUGGACGAAAGCCUAAUCCAGCAAUGCCGCGUAAGUGAUGAAGGCCUUAGGGUUGUAAAGCUCUUUUACCCGGGAUGAUAGUGACGGUACCGGGAGAAUAAGCUCCGGCUAACUCCGUG